rnacentral:rRNA from 1 species
GUGAGGAAUAUUGGUCAAUGGGCGGGAGCCUGAACCAGCCAAGUCGCGUGAAGGAAGAAGGAUCUAUGGUUCGUAAACUUCUUUUGCAGGGGAAUAAAGUGCAGGACGUGUCCUGUUUUGUAUGUACCCUGAGAAUAAGGAUCGGCUAACUCCGUGCCAGCAGCCGCGGUAAUACGGAGGAUCCGAGCGUGAUCCGGAUUUAUUGGGUUUAAAGGGUGCGUAGGUGGUUUGAUAAGUCAGCGGUGAAAGUUUGCAGCUUAACUGUAAAAAUGCCGUUGAAACUGUCGGACUUGAGUGUAAAUGAGGUAGGCGGAAUGCGUGGUGUAGCGGUGAAAUGCAUAGAUAUCACGCAGAACUCCGAUUGCGAAGGCAGCUUACUAAGCUACAACUGACACUGAAGCACGAAAGCGUGGGGAUCAAACAGGAUUAGAAACCCCAGUAGUCC